rnacentral:ribozyme from 1 species
AAAAGAAAAGAAAGAAAGAAAGAAAGAAAGAAAAACGAAAUGCCGAAACCCAUGCCGAAAGUUCAAACUCUUCCAGUGGUUUGGUGAUUUUAAUUAUUUGUUUUAUUUAAUGCUUUCACCUUUUUUAUUCUUUUAUUUAAUAAGAAGUUGAAGUGUUGAAGGAGUUGAAGAAACUCUUAUAAGUUCUAAUCGUAGCAAAUUAAUCGAAGGUAUUCUAAAUUUAUUUUGGUCAAGUUUAACCACGUUAAAAUAGAAAGUUGUUUUGGACUUUGCAGUUGAUGAAGACUUAUUACGGUGAAGUAAAAAUGAAGAAUUUCGUGAGAGCCAAAGUC